GACGAACGCUGGCGGCGUGCUUAACACAUGCAAGUCGAACGGAAAGGCCCUGCUUGCAGGGUACUCGAGUGGAGAACGGGUGAGUAACACGUGGGUGAUCUGCCCUGCACUUCGGGAUAAGCCUGGGAGACUGGGUCUAAUACCGGAUAGGAGCCAUUUUUAGUGUGAUGGUUGGAAAGUUUUUUCGGUGUAGGAUGAGCUCGCGGCCUAUCAGCUUGUUGGUGGGGUAAUGGCCUACCAAGGCGGCGACGGGUAGCCGGCCUGAGAGGGUGGACGGCCACAUUGGGACUGAGAUACGGCCCAGACUCCUACGGGAGGCAGCAGUGGGGAAUAUUGCACAAUGGGCGCAAGCCUGAUGCAGCGACGCCGCGUGGGGGAUGACGGCCUUCGGGUUGUAAACUCCUUUCGCUAGGGACGAAGCUUUUUGUGACGGUACCUAGAUAAGAAGCACCGGCUAACUACGUG
rnacentral:rRNA from 1 species